rnacentral:rRNA from 1 species
GGCAGCAGUAGGGAAUAUUGGGCAAUGGGCGCGAGCCUGACCCAGCCAUGCCGCGUGCCGGAUGAAGGCCUUCUGGGUUGUAAACGGCUUUUCUCAGGGAAGAAAAAGACCAUGCGUGGUACACUGACGGUACCUGGGGAAUAAGCACCGGCUAACUCCGUGCCAGCAGCCGCGGUAAUACGGAGGGUGCAAGCGUUGUCCGGAUUUAUUGGGUUUAAAGGGUGCGUAGGUGGCCUGUUAAGUCCGGGGUGAAAGCCCACAGCUCAACUGUGGAACUGCCCUGGAUACUGGCGGGCUUGAGUCCAGACGAGGUUGGCGGAAUGGAUGCUGUAGCGGUGAAAUGCAUAGAUAGCAUCCAGAACCCCGAUUGCGUAGGCAGCUGACUAGGCUGGUACUGACACUGAGGCACGAAAGCGUGGGGAGCGAACAGGAUUAGAUACCCUGGUAGUCCACGCCGUAAACGAUGGAUACUCGCUGGCAGCGAUACACUGUUGCUGGCUUAGCGAAAGCGGUAAGUAUCCCACCUGGGGAGUACGCUCGCAAGAGUGAAACUCAAAGGAAU